AAAUUGCAGCCCGACUUGAGUGGAAAUCCUUUUUUUUGCAUUUGAAAAAAAAGAUUGGGAACGGAAGGCGGAAAUGUCU
rnacentral:sRNA from 1 species